AGUGAACGCUGGCGGCAGGCCUAAUACAUGCAAGUCGAACGGCAGCACAGCAGGGCUUGCUCUGUGGGUGGCGAGUGGCGGACGGGUGAGGAAUACAUGGGAAUCUGCCCAGUCGUGGGGGAUAACGUAUGGAAACGUACGCUAAUACCGCAUGCGCCCUUUGGGGGAAAGCCGGGGACCUUCGGGCCUGGCGCGAUUGGAUGAGCCCAUGUUCGAUUAGCUAGUUGGCGGGGUAAAGGCCCACCAAGGCGACGAUCGAUAGCUGGUCUGAGAGGAUGAUCAGCCACACUGGGACUGAGACACGGCCCAGACUCCUACGGGAGGCAGCAGUAGGGAAUAUUGGACAAUGGGCGCAAGCCUGAUCCAGCCAUGCCGCGUGAGUGAAGAAGGCCCUCGGGUUGUAAAGCUCUUUUGUCCGGAAAGAAAAGCAUUCGGUUAAUACCCGGGUGUUCUGACGGUACCGGAAGAAUAAGCACCGGCUAACUUCGUG
rnacentral:rRNA from 1 species